rnacentral:rRNA from 1 species
CCCUUAGAUGUUCUGGGCCACACGCGCGUUACACUGAUGAAGCCAGCGAGUAUAUCGCCUUCACCGGAAGGUGCGGGUAAUCUUGUGAAACUUCAUCGUGCUGGGGAUAGACCAUUGCAAUUAUUGGUCUUGAACGAGGAAUUCCUAGUAAGCAUGAGUCAUCAACUCGUGCUGAUUACGUCCCUGCCCUUUGUACACACCGCCCGUCGCUCCUACCGAUUGAAUGAUCCGAUGAAUAUCAUGGAUUGAGGAUGCAAGUAGGUUCGCCUAUCUUCAUCUUCGAGAAGUGAAGUAAAUCUUAUCAUUUAGAGGAAGGAGAAGUCGUAACA